CUACGGGGCGCUCCAGUGGGGAAUAUUGCACAAUGGGCGCAAGCCUGAUGCAGCCAUGCCGCGUGUAUGAAGAAGGCCUUCGGGUUGUAAAGUACUUUCAGCGGGGAGGAAGGGAGUAAAGUUAAUACCUUUGCUCAUUGACGUUACCCGCAGAAGAAGCACCGGCUAACUCCGUGCCAGCAGCCGCGGUAAUACGGAGGGUGCAAGCGUUAAUCGGAAUUACUGGGCGUAAAGCGCACGCAGGCGGUUUGUUAAGUCAGAUGUGAAAUCCCCGGGCUCAACCUGGGAACUGCAUCUGAUACUGGCAAGCUUGAGUCUCGUAGAGGGGGGUAGAAUUCCAGGUGUAGCGGUGAAAUGCGUAGAGAUCUGGAGGAAUACCGGUGGCGAAGGCGGCCCCCUGGACGAAGACUGACGCUCAGGUGCGAAAGCGUGGGGAGCAAACAGGAUUAGAUACCCGCGUAGUC
rnacentral:rRNA from 1 species